rnacentral:rRNA from 1 species
UCAAGUUAUUAAGGGUGCAGGGCGGAUGCCUUGGCACUAGGAGCCGAUGAAGGACGUGAUAAGCUGCGAUAAGCUUCGGGGAGUUGCACGUAAACUUUGAUCCGAAGAUUUCCGAAUGAGGAAACUCACUUAGAGUAAUGUCUAAGUAUCAUUAAGUGAAUACAUAGCUUAAUGAGGGGAACUCAGGGAACUGAAACAUCUAAGUACCUGAAGGAAGAGAAAGAAAUUCGAUUCCGUAAGUAGCGGCGAGCGAACGCGGAUUAGCCCAAACCAAUAAAGUUUUCUUUAUUGGGGUUGCGGACAUAUCAUAACGAAGAGGUAUCGUAAUUGAAGAGGUUUGGAAAGACCCACCACAGAAGGUAAUAGUCCUGUAUGUUAAACGAGAAGACUUCAGAUAUGAUCCAGAGUACCACGGGACACGUGAAACCCUGUGGGAAGCAGGAGGGACCACCCUCCAAGGCUAAAUACUACCUAGUGACCGAUAGCGUAUAGUACCGUGAGGGAAAGGUGAAAAGAACCCCGGGAGGGGAGUGAAAUAGAACCUGAAACCCUGCACUUACAAGCUGUGGAAGCACAUUUCUUGUGUGACCGCGUACUUUUUGUAGAACGGGCCAACGAGUUACGUUAAGUAGCAAGGUUAAGCACUUAAGGUGCGGAGCCGUAGCGAAAGCGAGUUUUAACUGAGCGUUCAGUUACUUGACGUAGACCCGAAACCGGGCGACCUACCCAUGAGCAGGAUGAAGCGAAAGUAAAAUUUCGUGGAGGUCCGAACCCACGAGCGUUGAAAAGCUCGGGGAUGACUUGUGGGUAGCGGUGAAAUUCCAAUCGAGCCCGGAGAUAGCUGGUUCUCCCCGAAAUAGCUUUAGGGCUAGCCUCAAGGUGAGAGAUACGGAGGUAGAGCACUGAAUGUCCUAGGGGGUAUUGCACCUACCGAAGACUAUCAAACUCCGAAUGCCGUCAUCUUAUACUUGGGAGUCAGACUGUGGGUGAUAAGAUUCAUAGUCAAAAGGGCAACAGCCCAGAUCGUCAGCUAAGGUCCCUAAAUGUAAGUUAAGUGGUAAAGGAUGUGGGAUUGCACAGACAACCAGGAUGUUGGCUUAGAAGCAGCCACUCAUUCAAAGAGUGCGUAAUAGCUCACUGGUCGAGUGAUCCUGCGCCGAAGAUUUCCGGGGCUAAAACUUACUACCGAAGCUACGGCAUCAUUAUGAUGGGUAGGGGAGCUUCCCAUACGGGUUGAAGCAUGACCGUAAGGACAUGUGGACAGUAUGGGAGUGAGAAUGUUGGCAUGAGUAGCGAGAUGUGGGUGAGAAUCCCACAGGCCGUAAACCCAAGGUUUCCAGGGGAAGGUUCGUCCGCCCUGGGUUAGUCGGGACCUAAGCUGAGGCCGAAAGGCGUAGGUGAUGGACAACAGGUUGAUAUUCCUGUACUACCGAUAACCGUUUGAGAGAAGGGAUGACACAGUAGGAUAAGCUAAGCACACUGUUGGUUAUGUGUGCCCAAGCAUUGAGGCAGUCAAAGUAGGCAAAUCCGCUUUGAUAAUGCUGGGAUGUGAUGGGGAGCGAAAUUUAGUAGCGAAGUAGCUGAUUUCACACUGUCAAGAAAAGUCUCUAUCGAGGUUAAAGGUACCCGUACCGCAAACCGACACAGGUGGGUGAGGAGAGUAUCCUAAGGCCAGCGAGAGAACUGUUGUUAAGGAACUCGGCAAAAUGACCCCGUAACUUAGGGAUAAGGGGUGCCACCAUCCGGUGGCCGCAGAGAAUAGGCCCAAGCGACUGUUUACCAAAAACAUAGGUUUCUGCUAAGUCGCAAGACGAUGUAUAGGAGCUGACGCCUGCCCGGUGCUGGAAGGUUAAGGGGAUCUGUUAGAGCAAUCGAAGCAGUGAACUUAAGCCCCAGUAAACGGCGGCCGUAACUAUAACGGUCCUAAGGUAGCGAAAUUCCUUGUCGGGUAAGUUCCGACCCGCACGAAAGGCGUAACGAUUUGGGCACUGUCUCAACAACAGACUCGGUGAAAUUGUAAUUCCGGUGAAGAUGCCGGAUACCUGCGACAGGACGGAAAGACCCCAUGGAGCUUUACUGUAGCUUGACAUUGGGUCUUGGUACUACAUGUACAGGAUAGGUGGGAGGCUUUGAAACCAGGACGCCAGUUUUGGCGGAGCCAUCCUUGGGAUACCACCCUUGUAGUACUGGGACUCUAACCAUAGGCCAUGAAUCUGGUCUUGGGACACUGUCAGGUGGGCAGUUUGACUGGGGCGGUCGCCUCCCAAAAGGUAACGGAGGCGCUCAAAGGUUCUCUCAGUACGGUCGGAAAUCGUACGUAGAGUGUAAAGGCAAAAGAGAGCUUGAUUGCAAGACAUACAGGUCGAGCAAGGAUGAAAAUCGGACUUAGUGAUCCGGUGGUUCUGCGUGGAAGGGCCAUCGCUCAACGGAUAAAAGCUACCCUGGGGAUAACAGGCUUAUCUCCCCCAAGAGUCCACAUCGACGGGGAGGUUUGGCACCUCGAUGUCGGCUCAUCACAUCCUGGGGCUGUAGUAGGUCCCAAGGGUUGGGCUGUUCGCCCAUUAAAGUGGUACGCGAGCUGGGUUCAGAACGUCGUGAGACAGUUCGGUCCCUAUCCGUCGCAGGCGUAGGAAAUUUGAGAAGACCUGUCCUUAGUACGAGAGGACCGGGAUGGACGUACCUCUGGUGUACCAGUUGUUCUGCCAAGGGCAUGGCUGGGUAGCUAUGUACGGAAUGGAUAAGCGCUGAAAGCAUCUAAGCGCGAAGCCAACUUCAAGAUAAGAUUUCCCACCGCAAGGGUAAGACCCCAGAAAGACUAUCUGGUUGAUAGGUCGAAGGUGUAAGUGCAGCAAUGUAUUUAGCUUAUCGAUACUAAUAGGUCGAGGACUUGACCAA